CCUGGUUGAUCCUGCCAGUAGUCAUAUGCUUGUCUCAAAGAUUAAGCCAUGCAUGUCUUCGUGCAAGCUCCUCGAGCGAAACUGCGGAUGGCUCCUUAAAUCAGUUAUGGUUCAUUGGAUCGAGUCCCCGGACAUGGAUAACUGUGGUAAUUCUAGAGCUAAUACCUGCGUCCAAGCGCCGACUCUCCAGAAGGCGUGCUUUUAUUAGGAAAAAGACCAGCCCGGCUCCGGCCGGUACCACUGGUGAACUCUGGAUAACACAGCCGAUCGCACGGCCCUCGCGCCGGCGACGGAUCCUUCGAAUGUCUGCCCUAUCAACUUUCGAUGGUACGUUAUGCGCCUACCAUGGUCGUCACGGGUAACGGAGAUCAGGGUUCGAUUCCGGAGAGGGAGCCUGAGAAACGGCUACCACAUCCAAGGAAGGCAGCAGGCGCGCAAUUACCCACUCCCGACACGGGGAGGUAGUGACGAAAAAUAACAAUACAGGACUCUUUCGAGGCCCUGUAAUGGAAUGAGUACACUUUAAAUCCUUUAACGAGGAUCCACUGGAGGGCAAGUCUGGUGCCAGCAGCCGCGGUAAUUCCAGCUCCAGUAGCGUAUAUUAAAGCUGUUGCAGUUAAAAAGCUCGUAGUUGGAUCUUGGGCCCAGGCCUGCGGUCCGCCGUGAGGCUGUGGCCUGCCGAGUCCUUUCUCUCGGUUUUCGCCGUCCCUUUUGAGUGCAGACAGGCACGUUUUACUGAAAAAAUUGGAGUGUUCAAAGCAGGCCUGCUCGGCACGCGAUCUUGCCCUCCAGUGGAUCUCCCGUUAAGGUUUAAAGUGUCUCAAUGUCCAAUUACAGUGGCCCUCCGAAGGUCCUGUAUUUGUUUUUUGUCAUGCCUUCCCCUCCGUAGUCCGGGAGUGUGGUGCGAUCGCUAUAGACUCUGACGUCCUGGCCUUCUCUCGGUUUUCGGCCUCCAGGUGCCCUUGAUUGCAGUGCCAGGAUUAGCGGAGGCCCUGCGGUUAGCCUGUGUUCUUACUUUGUUGUUUGUGGUAUGUCGCAGAAAAUAUCGGCUCGCCUGUUUCAAAGCCGGAGGAACCCUCUGUGCGAACCCUGAUUCUCCGUUUACCCGUGACGACCCUGAACGAGCCAGGAGCAUUGGAAUAAUGUGUAAUGAGUGUGUUAAGGCGAUUCCCGUUCACCGAUGCCUUGCUAAUUGUGUCUGGUAUUGUUAUGUCGAACUCGACAUGAUGCGAAGGAUCCGUGCCCGCGCCCAGGGGCUUGGUAAAUGAUUUAAGAGGUGACUGACGGGUGGCAUCGUUUGCCGGUUGCGAUCGCGUGGUGAAGAGGUAUUGUAACAAUGUUCUGUUGGUAUCUGUCCCGCCAAGUACGAC
rnacentral:rRNA from 1 species